GGUUUAAAAAGGAUGUUUGAGUGCAAAUCAAACGGUGGGCCUGAGAUGGUCCUUAAGCCU
rnacentral:tRNA from 1 species